GACGAACGCUGGCGGCGUGCUUAACACAUGCAAGUCGUACGGUAAGGCCCUUUCGGGGUUACACGAGUGGCGAACGGGCGGGUAACACGUGCGUAACUUGCCCACAACUUUCUGAUAACUAUAGGAAACUGGCUCGAAUACUUGCCAUGUACUCCCGCCGCAUGCUGGGGGUUGGAAGGCUCCGGUGGGUGUGGAUGGACUCGCGGCCUACUAGCUUGUUGGUGGGGUAGUGGGCUACCAACGCGGCGGCGGGUGGGCGGCCGGCGGGGGUGAGCGGGCACAUUUGGACUUGGAUACGGCCCAGGCCCCUACGGGGGGGAACAGGGGGGAAUAUUGCACAAUGGGGGCGAGCCUGAUGGAACAACGCCGCGUGCGGGAUGACCGCCUUCGGGUUGUAAACCGGUUUCAGCAGGGACGAAGCUGUUUGUGACGGUAACUGCAGAAGAAGCACCGGCUAACUACGUG
rnacentral:rRNA from 1 species